rnacentral:rRNA from 1 species
UACGGAUGGCAGCAGUGGGGAAUAUUGCACAAUGGGCGAAAGCCUGAUGCAGCUAUGCCGCGUGUAUGAAGAAGGCCUUAGGGUUGUAAAGUACUUUCAUCGGGGAGGAAAAAACAAAACUAAUAAUUUUAUUUCUUGACGUUACCCGAAAAAGAAGCACCGGCUAACUCCGUGCCAGCAGCCGCGGUAAUACGGAGGGUGCUAGCGUUAAUCAGAAUUACUGGGCGUAAAGAGCACGUAGGUGGUUUUUUUAAGUCAGAUGUGAAAUCCCUGGGCUUAACCUGGAACUGCAUUUUGAAACUGAAAUACUAGAGUAUCGUAGAGGGAGGUAGAAUUCUAGGUGUAGCGGUUGAAAUGCGUAGAUAUCUGGAGGAAUACCUGUGGCGAAAGCGGCCUCCUAAACGAAUACUGACACUGAGGUGCGAAAGCGUGGGGAGCAAACGAGGGAUUAGGAUACC